rnacentral:lncRNA from 1 species
ACAUUAGAUAUCAAAAUGUAAAAUAAAGUCUCUGCUUUGAGGCAUAAGAACAGCUAGUCAACAUGAUUUUUUCUCCAAAUCAAGACUUCCCAAGAAUAAGCUAGCAUCUGGACUGAAUCCACUGGAUAGAUCGAUCGACUAGCUUGUACUCAUACAAGAACAUUUUUGCAACCUGAAUACGAAUGGAAAAAGCAUGGUGAUAAUGCAAAUUCAGAAGCCCUGUUUAGCAACACAUUCAUCUGUCCAUGUUCACUCCAUGACUAAUAGCACAACUAAAAUCACCAGGGUGCUACAGAUUCGCAAGCUCGCCUAAGAUUACGGAAGCACCAUCCGUACUUGCGCUCCAUUCCUCAGCACCAAGUUCUCUGUCACUGCACAAAGUAAGAGAAGUGGCCCCAAAAUCAGUUCACCUACUUCACCAGAACUAAGAAACAAAUAGAAAUCCAAGAGGAUCAACCUGCAACAUUACUAGCAGCAUAGGCGGUACGAGAAGCCCGCUGGAGUGAAGAGGGCGGCUCCCGCAUCAUCAGGCCGCUAGUGCAAGGGGGAAAUUAGCAGGUCACAAAGAGGGCGGCUGCCUAGCUCGUCAUCCUAGAACUAAGGGAGGCGCACUUGUCGAACUGCUAGAGGCCGUGCAGACGGUGCCACCCGACGGCGACCAGGGCUUCCCACAACUGCCAUCGACAGCUAGAGGCGGAUGAGCUCCACCACGGCGAGCCUCGCGGCCCCACCACGCCAGCGCCACCAUUUCUCACACACCUCCUGAUCCGCGCCAUCUGCUCCGCCGGAGGAAUACAGGUGGGCGCGGCAGAGGUGAGCAGUGGCUAGGAUGUGUAUGCAACUUUUUUUACUAGAACUUGCAAGUAAACUGAAGAAACCAAUAGCAUAGAGAUCCUGCUAAACAUUUACUGAAAAUUUUGCAUAUAGGUUGAUCUUAGCUGAACUGACACACGAAAUUGUAUAGGUUUAUGCAUAUCAAAAUGCAUAUGAGUUGUUUGAUGAUACAGUACAUGUUGAACUGAGCAAAUUCACAAAUUUUUGCAAUAAGAAAAAGUGAUUUUUGUAGCUUUUUUGUCAAUGGCCUGUUGUAACAUAAGUAGUUAAGUACUAGCACAGCUACUGGCUUUUAUAUAAAUCAUGACAAAAUCAAACAAAGUUAAGAACAGGCAUGCUCCAGCCAAUGUGGUGGGCAAGGAGAUGCCUGCUGCAAGAGGAGAUGCUUGCUGAUAUGAAGAGGGGGCCAUAAUGGAGAGAAGAACCUGAAUAUGGUCAAACAAUUGCAGGGGCAUCGUGUUUGCCAAAAUUAAAAACCACUCAAUGGACUCUCCAGUUUACUUAAAUUAAUUACUCAGGGGGUGAUGCAUUUUCAUGCUUUAGAAAUUCAUAAUGUUGACUACAAAAUCUGAAUGGACAUAAACUAAUUAUUACAAAUAAACACUGAUUUCAACGUAUGGCCCGGGUGGUCGAUUCACAAGUUUGCCGAUAGUGGGUGUAUGCAUAACCACUAAGUUGAUGUAUCAUCCUAGAUAUGGAAAAUGAUGUGCCAAUUAAAAUGCAAGGAGUACAAUGCUGAAAAGAGAAAAAGCAGUGAAUACGCAGUGCCCUGUAUAAUGUGCUAGUCUGGUGAUCACAUAAGGACUCUAGGGACUAUAAUUCAAGUGGGUAAAAUACUAGAGCGUAAUGCACAGAGCAUUUGCCGGCUGCACAAUUGGACUCCGCCUAUAGAAAGCUGCAAUCUAUGUGGUGAAGAGACGAGGCACUACCAGCUCUUGGAUCAGAAUUGACAUCAAAGAAACUCGCCGCAAAUCAUUACUUAUUCAGGUGAUAUAUCUAAACUUACAGAAAUUGAAACUUGUACUGACGAUAUUUUUUCACAGGCACCAACUAUUCUGCGCUUUUUCAAGGACUGACAACCGAGUGCACACCAAACUAAUGUUAAGUUUAGUACAAAAAUUCUUUAUUCAUGAACUGACAAUAUUUCUCCCUUUUGGACUGAAGAAAAUCACACACGUAGGCACGCAGGAGAAGCCGUUUCAAGCUACAGCCAGCAUCAGCAAGAAUUCAAGCGAAAGGCACUCAGGUAAUAGGAAAUGAACAUAUGACGAAGAAUUGAACAUAAAAGAAAAUAUUUUUGGAGAAGGAAGAAGAUGUUAGGAGGAUCUGGUGAACCUGCUACGCAUACUCCUGUGGACUUACGGUUCCAGUGAAGUGGAGCUGAUGGAAGAGAGGAUCACGAGCUGCGGCGGGAUGGUCGACGCUGGAGCUCGUGGCGAAGUGGACCCGUGGCGCGGCGGCGGGGGGAGGGGUCGUUGGCGCGUAGGGCAGUGGCCCGGGUGGACGUGGGGGCGGCGGUCGCGGCUGGAGCUGGGGCGGCGGCCACGGCGGGAGGUGGCAGGGGCGGCCGCGACGGUGGAGGGGGAGGCCGGGGCGGCGCCCUGGUGAAGGGGGAGGCCGCGGCGGCACGCUGGUGGAGGGGAAGGCCGCGGCGGCGCGGGAUCAGAUCAGGGGGAAUGGUUAGGGACGACAGGGUUUGGCUUCGGGUCAGAUGUUCAGUUGGG